AACGGCCGUACCAUGCUGAAUAUACCGGUUCUCGUUAGAUCACCGAAGUCAAGCAUCAUUGGGCCCGGUCAGUACUUGGGUGGGUGAACACCUGGGAACACCGCGUGCCGUU
rnacentral:rRNA from 1 species